UGGGGAAUAUUGGACAAUGGGGGCAACCCUGAUCCAGCAAUGCCGCGUGGGUGAAGAAGGUCUUCGGAUUGUAAAGCCCUUUCGGCGGGGACGAUGAUGACGGUACCCGCAGAAGAAGCCCCGGCUAACUUCGUGCCAGCAGCCGCGGUAAUACGAAGGGGGCUAGCGUUGCUCGGAAUGACUGGGCGUAAAGGGCGCGUAGGCGGUUCACACAGUCAGGCGUGAAAUUCCUGGGCUCAACCUGGGGGCUGCGCUUGCGACGUGUGGGCUGGAGUGCGGAAGAGGGUCGUGGAAUUCCCAGUGUAGAGGUGAAAUUCGUAGAUAUUGGGAAGAACACCGGUGGCGAAGGCGGCGACCUGGUCCGUGACUGACGCUGGAGGCG
rnacentral:rRNA from 1 species